rnacentral:tRNA from 1 species
GCCCGAGUGGUGAAAUCGGUAGACACAGCAGAUUUAAAAUCUGCCGACUUAAAACAGUCGUGCCGGUUCGAUUCCGGCCUCGGGCA